rnacentral:misc_RNA from 1 species
UCCUCCUCCUUCCCCAGGAAACUCAUUCAUUCAAGAAAUCAGUGAUCACCUAGGCAUGGAUAGAGAACAAGAAGAGAUGCAAUUUCUUGGAUUCUUCGAUAUCUACAAAGAAUCCUACAAGAUCAUAUUCACAUGGAGAAAGAUCUUCACCCAGAUAACUCUAGCCCUGAUUCUUCCUCUGUCUUUCAUCUUCCUAGCUCACAUCCAGAU